rnacentral:rRNA from 1 species
UGAGGAAUAUUGCACAAUGGAGGAAACUCUGAUGCAGCAACGCCGCGUGGAGGGAUGACGCAUUUCGGUGUGUAAACUCCUUUUAUGAGUCAAGAAAAUGACGGUAGCUCAUGAAUAAGCACCGGCUAACUCCGUGCCAGCAGCCGCGGUAAUACGGAGGGUGCAAGCGUUAUUCGGAAUCACUGGGCGUAAAGGACGCGUAGGCGGGAAGCCAAGUCUGAUGUGAAAUCCUAUGGCUUAACCAUAGAACUGCAUUGGAAACUGGUUACCUAGAGUAUGGGAGGGGGAGAUGGAAUUAGUGGUGUAGGGGUAAAAUCCGUAGAUAUCACUAGGAAUACCGAAAGCGAAGGCGAUCUCCUGGAACAAUACUGACGCUAAGGCGUGAAAGCGUGGGGAGCAAACG